AACGAACGCUGGCGGCAUGCCUAACACAUGCAAGUCGAACGAAACCGUCGGGUCUAGUGGCGCACGGGUGCUGAACGCGGGGUAACCUGCCUGUAGGUUCGGAAUAACUCAGAGAAGUUUGAGCUAAGACCGGAUGAUGUCUUCGGACCAAAGAUUUAUCGCCUUUAGAUGGGCCCGCGUUGGUUUGGCUGGUUGGUGGGGUAAAGGCCUACCAAGGCGACGAUGCAUAGCUGGUCUGAGAGGAUGAUCAGCCAGACUGGGAAUGAGACCCGGCCCAGAACCGUACGGAAGGCAGCAGUGGGGAAUAUUAGACGAUGGGCGAAAGCCUGACACAGCCAUGCCGCGUGAGUGAUGAAGGCCUUAGGGUUGUAAAGCCCUUUUACCCGAGAUGAUAAUGACAGUAACGGGAGAAUAAGCUCCGGCUAACUACGUG
rnacentral:rRNA from 1 species